rnacentral:tRNA from 1 species
AAGAAACUAGUUUAAAAAAAAACAUUAACUUGUCAAAUUAAAAAUACUUUCUUAGUGUUUCUUU